CCUACGGAGGCUGCAGUGAGGAAUAUUGGUCAAUGGACGAGAGUCUGAACCAGCCAAGUAGCGUGAAGGAUGACUGCCCUAUGGUUUGUAAACUUCUUUUAUCUGGGAAUAAAAUGUUCCACGUGUGGGAUUUUGUAUGUACCAUAUGAAUAAGGAUCGGCUAACUAAGUGCCAGCCGCCGAGGUAAUACGGAGGAUCCGAGCGUUAUCCGGAUUUGUUGGGUUUAAAGGGAGCGUAUGUGGAUUGUUAAGUCAGUUGUGAAAGUUUGCGGCUCAACCGUUAAAUUGCAGUUGACACUGGCAGUCUUGAGUACAGUAGAGGUAGGCGGAAUUCGUGGUGUAGCGGUGAAAUGCGUAGAUAUCACGAAGAACUCCGAUUGCGAAGGCGGCUCACUGGACUGAAACUGACACUGAGGCUCGAAAGUGUGGGUAUCAAACAGGAUUAGAUACCCGAGUAGUC
rnacentral:rRNA from 1 species